rnacentral:rRNA from 1 species
UGGGGAAUAUUGCACAAUGGGCGAAAGCCUGAUGCAGCAACGCCGCGUGAGCGAUGAAGGCCUUCGGGUCGUAAAGCUCUGUCCUCAAGGAAGAUAAUGACGGUACCCGAGGAGGAAGCUCCGGCUAACUACGUGCCAGCAGCCGCGGUAAUACGUAGGGAGCGAGCGUUGUCCGGAAUUACUGGGUGUAAAGGGAGUGUAGGCGGGACAGUAAGUCAGGUGUGAAAUUUAUGGGCUCAACCCAUAACCUGCAUUUGAAACUACUGUUCUUGAGUGAAGUAGAGGUUGGCGGAAUUCCUAGUGUAGCGGUGAAAUGCGUAGAUAUUAGGAGGAACAUCAGUGGCGAAGGCGGCCAACUGGGCUUUUACUGACGCUGAGGCUCGAAAGCGUGGGGAGCAAACAGG